rnacentral:lncRNA from 1 species
NNNNNNNNNNNNNNNNNNNNNNNNNNNNNNNNNNNNNNNNNNNNNNNNNNNNNNNUUGGGGACAGUUGGGGACAGUUGGGGACAGUUGGGGAUAUUUGGGGACACUUGGGGACAGUUGGGGACACUCAGGGACACUUGGGGAUAUUUGGGGACAGUUGGGGAUAUUUGGGGACACUGGGGACAGUUGGGGAUAUUUGGGGACAGUUGGGGAUAUUUGGGGACACUUGGGGACACUUGGGGACAUUUGGGACACUUGGGGACAGUUGGGGAUAUUUGGGGACACUGGGGACAGUUGGGGACACUUGGGGACAGUUGGGGACACGGUGCCAGCGGCGUGACACGAGUGCGACCCCCCCGUGCAGGGAUGGGGACAAGGAUGGGGGGCUCUUCGUCAACACCAACCGUGUGGGGACCCCCGGGGACGAGGACACGGGGGACGAGGACACGGGGGACAGCGGAGAGGACACGGGGGACAGCGACAGCCAGGAGGACACCAGUGACAGCGGAGAGGACACGGGGGACAAGGACCCCGAGGAGGAGCACCCGGAGCACCCCAGUGACAGCGAGGGCGACACAGAAGGUGACACAGAAGGUGACACCGAGGGUGACACAGAAGGUGACACCGAGGGUGACACCAAGAGUGACCCAAAGGACCCCCGUGACAAGAGCGGCGGUGACAAGGACCCGAGUGACACAGAGGGUGACACAGAAGGUGACACAGAAGGUGACACAGAGGGUGACAUGAAGGGUGACCCGAAGGACCCCCGUGACAAGAUCGGCGGUGACAAGGACCCGAGUGACACCAAGGGUGACACCAAGGGUGACACAGAAGGUGACCCAAAGGACCCCCGUGACAAGAUCGGCCGUGACAAGGACCCAAGUGACCCCCAGGAGGACACAGAAGGUGACACCAAGGGUGACCCAAAGGACCCCCGUGACAAGAGCGGCGGUGACAAGGACCCGAGUGACCCCCAGGAGGACACAGAAGGUGACACGAAGGGUGACACAGAGAGUGACCCGAAGGACCCCCGUGACAAGAGCGGCGGUGACAAGGACCCGAGUGACCCCCAGGAGGACACGGGGGGGGCCGAGGCCACCCCCCAGCCCCGGGACAGGGGGGACACCGGGGGGGGUC